rnacentral:rRNA from 1 species
CCACGCGGUAAACGAUGAAUACUAGGUAUUGGGAGUAAGAUCUCGGUGCCGCAGCUAACGCAUUAAGUAUUCCGCCUGGGGAGUACGCACGCAAGUGUAAAACUCAAAGGAAUUGACGGGGACCCGCACAAGUAGCGGAGCAUGUGGUUUAAUUCGUGGCAACGCGGAGAACCUUACCAGGUCUUGACAUCCCUGCGAAUAUACCUUAACCGGUAUAGCUCUUCGGAGCGCAGGAGACAGGUGGUGCAUGGUUGU